AGCAGCGUGGCUAAGUGGAAAGAGCACAGGCUUGGGAGCCUGCUCGUGGGUUCUAAUCCUGCCUCCGCCA
rfam:Ornithorhynchus anatinus chromosome 2, whole genome shotgun sequence.